AAUGAAAAUAGGGAGGAAAUCAAAAACUAUCUGAAAACAAAUGAAUACAAACACACAAUGACCCAAAAUCUAUGAGACACAGUGAAGGCAGUCCUGGGAGGGAAGUUCAUAGCAAUUCAAGCCUACUUAAAGAAGAUAGAAAGAUCUCAAGUAAAUAACUUAACCUUACAUCUAAAACAAACAAACAAACAAACAAAAAACAA